GAUAAAAAAAUAUUUUAAAAACCUGUGUUAUGCAGAUUUUAUUGCAUCAAUUAAUUGAAAUAUGAAUCCUUGGAUAGAAUUUGAAAUCCUUAAUUGCAUAGAGUAUUAGAAUUAUUAAGUUAAACAACUUAUCUAUAACAUGUUAACUUAACAUGAUAUGUAUUCACAGUUCCUUUUCAAAAUGAAGCAUUAUGUCUUAAGAGCUGGGGUCUGGAUAGAUGGCUCAGUGGUUUAGGGCAUGUAUUUUGUGGUAGAGCACUUGAUUUGGUUUCCAGCUUACAGCCAUCUGUAAUUCCUCUUCUGGCCUCUGUAGGCACAUGCACUUAUGUGCAUAUACACCCACACAGACACACAAACAUGCACAGUAAAAAAGAAAACAACUGUUAAAAAAUCCUCUCAGAACUAGUUGCCUUGAAAAUAAUUUUAUAUACCUCAUGAGAGGUUGUGACAAAUCAGGAAGAAAAAAGGCAGUGUUAAUUCUUAGGAAUGUAAAAUUAUACAUUGUCCUUACUUUGAUUGGCACAGGUAAAAAUGGCUCUCUCAGAUGAGCAUCUCUAAUGGAAUAUAGCUUUCAGUUACUAAAACUCAGUAUCCUGUCAAGUUCCAACUUCCCAGAGUAUGUAUUUCUAUUGAAAAUAGUCUAGUGUACUUCUCUCGUCUUCCUUGAAUUUCAGUUUGGAAUUGAAGUUAUACCUAUACUUUCAGAAUGGGCAGGAAAAUUCUUCAUUUAUGAUAGUCAUGAUGAUAAUUACAUAGUGCUGAAAUUUAACCCAGGGCCUUGCAUAUGGGUAACAUGCUUUCCAUUGACCGCUGCCUCCAAGGCAGUCUUGAUAUUAUUGUUAUUUUGAAUUUUAUUACAUUAAAUUUUUCAUUUUCUGUCCUUGUAUGAGUUGUAUACCUUGGCAAGCAUGGGAAGGCCAUAGGACAACUUGUAGGAGUCACUUCUCUCCAUCUAGAGUGUGGAUCCUAGGAAUUAACUCGGGUCGUCAGACUUGGCAGCAGGAAUAGCUAUUCACAGUCAGACAGAACCACUUACACGUUUUGCAGUAUCUUCCGAGGAAGUCAGAGUCUGAGCCAGCAUGAAGAUUGAAUCUUGUCUUUGGUCUGAUUUACCUUUAUUGUAACCAUGUGCAAGGUGGAGGUUAUAGCAUGGAAACUAAAAUCUUACUUCCUGCCUGACAUAACUCACUUCAAGAAGUACACAAUGUCAGAACAUGGGAUUAAGUGGGCCUGUGAAUAUUGUACGUAUGAAAACUGGCCGUCUGCAAUCAAGUGUACUAUGUGUCGUGCCCAGAGACCCAGUGGAACAAUUAUUACAGAAGAUCCAUUUAAAAGUGGUUCAAGUGAUGUUGGUAGAGAUUGGGAUCCUUCCAGUACUGAAGGUGGAAGUAGUCCUUUGAUAUGUCCAGACUCUAGUGCAAGACCAAGGGUUAAGUCUUCAUACAGCAUGGAAAAUGCAAAUAAAUGGUCAUGCCACAUGUGUACAUAUUUGAACUGGCCAAGAGCAAUCAGAUGUACCCAGUGCUUAUCCCAGCGUAGGACCAGGAGUCCCACAGAAUCUCCUCAAUCCUCAGGAUCUGGUUCAAGACCAGUUGCUUUUUCUGUUGAUCCUUGUGAAGAAUACAAUGAUAGAAAUAAAUUGAAUACAAGGACCCAGCAUUGGACUUGUUCUGUUUGCACAUAUGAAAACUGGGCUAAGGCUAAAAAAUGUGUUGUUUGUGACCAUCCCAGACCUAAUAACAUUGAAGCAAUAGAGUUGGCAGAGACUGAAGAGGCUUCUUCAAUAAUUAAUGAGCAAGACAGAGCUCGAUGGAGGGGAGGCUGCAGUAGUGGUAAUAGCCAAAGAAGAUCACCUCCAACUACAAAACGGGACUCGGAAGUGAAGAUGGAUUUUCAGAGGAUCGAAUUGGCUGGUGCUGUUGGUACCAAGGAGGAACUUGAAGUGGACUUUAAAAAACUAAAGCAGAUUAAAAAUAGGAUGAAAAAGACUGAUUGGCUAUUCCUCAAUGCCUGUGUGGGGUUCCUGAAAUUGUGCCUGCUGUCUCGAGGUCCACCCUCACCCCACAGCAUAAACCAUGCUGUGAUGUUACACAGCUACCAUAGAACUCCAGGGUAGUGUUGAGCUGGCCCAUGUGGGUUCAGGUGUUGUGGAAGGUGACUUAGCAGCCAUAGAAGCAUACAAGUCAUCGGGAGGAGACAUUGCACGCCAGCUUACUGCAGAUGAAGUACGCUUGCUGAACCGUCCUUCUGCUUUUGAUGUUGGCUACACUCUGGUACAUCUGGCCAUACGCUUUCAGAGGCAGGACAUGUUAGCGAUAUUGCUUACAGAGGUAUCUCAGCAAGCAGCAAAGUGUAUUCCAGCCAUGGUGUGUCCUGAACUGACAGAGCAAAUCCGGAGAGAAAUAGCUGCUUCUCUUCACCAGAGAAAGGGGGAUUUUGCUUGCUAUUUUCUGACUGACCUUGUAACAUUUACAUUACCAGCAGAUAUUGAAGAUUUGCCUCCAACAGUUCAAGAAAAAUUAUUUGAUGAGGUGCUUGAUAGAGAUGUUCAAAAAGAGCUAGAGGAAGAAUCUCCCAUUAUAAACUGGUCUUUGGAGUUGGCUACACGUCUGGACAGUAGACUAUAUGCACUUUGGAACCGGACUGCCGGAGAUUGUUUACUUGACUCAGUACUACAAGCUACAUGGGGCAUUUAUGACAAAGACUCGGUGCUUCGGAAAGCCCUGCAUGACAGCCUGCAUGACUGUUCACAUUGGUUUUACACACGCUGGAAAGACUGGGAAUCGUGGUAUUCCCAGAGCUUUGGUUUACAUUUUUCACUGAGGGAAGAACAAUGGCAAGAAGACUGGGCAUUCAUACUCUCUCUAGCUAGUCAGCCUGGAGCAAGUUUGGAACAGACACACAUUUUUGUACUUGCACAUAUUCUUAGACGACCAAUUAUAGUUUAUGGAGUAAAAUAUUAUAAGAGUUUCCGGGGAGAAACUUUAGGAUAUACUCGGUUUCAAGGAGUUUAUCUGCCUUUGUUGUGGGAACAGAGUUUUUGUUGGAAAAGUCCAAUCGCACUGGGCUAUACAAGGGGCCACUUCUCUGCUUUGGUUGCCAUGGAGAACGAUGGCUAUGGCAACCGAGGUGCUGGUGCUAAUCUGAACACUGAUGAUGAUGUCACCAUCACAUUUUUGCCUCUGGUUGACAGUGAAAGGAAGCUCCUCCAUGUGCACUUCCUGUCUGCUCAGGAGCUAGGUAAUGAGGAGCAGCAAGAGAAACUGCUCAGAGAGUGGCUGGACUGCUGUGUGACUGAAGGGGGAGUUCUAGUGGCCAUGCAGAAAAGCUCUCGGCGGAGAAACCACCCCUUGGUCACACAAAUGGUAGAAAAAUGGCUUGACCGCUACAGACAGAUCCGGCCUUGUACAUCCCUGUCUGAUGGAGAGGAAGAUGAGGAUGAUGAGGAUGAAUGACAACAAACCUAAGGAAAGAAAAAGACCAAGGCAUCAGGUCUGAGGUGGCCUCAAAGUUAGUGUGGUAUCCUAAACAGAAUAUGCAGCAUGGAGCGAGCCAUACCCUGCCGGAUCUGCUCCCAAGUUAUCUUUCUGUUCCACACUCACAGGAGAGAAUUGACUGCAUCUGCAUGAGGAGAUGGAGAACUUUGGUUGAACUACAGUUUGUAAAAAAGAAAAAAAAAAAAAAAAAAGAAAAGAAAAAAAAAGAAAAAAGAAAAAAAAUAACCUAAUUUUAUUGACAGAACUUUUUUUUCCUUUCAAAUUGUAAAUCUGUCUAUGAAUGUAACGCAUGUGGUUGUUUGAGAAGUUGUGUACUAGGAAAAGUGCACCAGCAUCUUCAUGUUACUGAGACCAUUUUCCCAGCAUGGGCACUCAUAAACAGCACAUAGCAGACAGACCAGUGAGAUGCUCUCUCUCUCAUUAGCACCUGACAUCCUGCUCCCACCACACCAGACCCAUUUCCCAUUGUUUUAGAGAUUUGGAAACUUUGUACAAAUUAUCCACGGCAAGAUAAAAAUAAACAAGCCUUUAUUUUAUUAAUAAUUUAGUUCCUGUUGUGCCCAAUAAAAGUAAAAAAAAAAAAAAAAAAAAAAAAUCAAACCCUUAGGAACAAACUACAAGAAAAACUAGCAAGUUUUUGGAGUGAACUUAACAUAAACAUUGUCUCUUGUUUUUUGAAGAGGGUUUUAGUUUCUGUUGUUUUCAAUUUUUCCGAUUUGCCCCUUUCAUUAUUUAGGUAUUUGUUUGGAAGAGUGCCCUGUAAAGGGGGUUCUUACUCGACUCUGGGCGGUGCAUUUGUGCACUUCUACCCUGGAUGGAUGGAUGGAUGGAAAGGGAGCAGGCUCACUCAUCCCUGGGUGGGUUAUGUGACAGUUACUUGGACUCAACCUGUUCUGUUCCCAGGCGGCCAUGCAGACAGUCUUCAGCUACUUCCUGUCUUUGUCACCUCUGCUCUAAGCAGACCCUGUAUUAGGGGCAGGCCUUUGGUUAGGCUGAUUGGGAAUACAGUUCAGUACAGAAUAAAGAUUUUUAAAAUGCAGUAAGGUGGUCAAUGCAUUGUAUGAUCAGUUUCUGUGUAGUCUGAGAAUUUUUGCAUGUUGGUUAGUUGUAGCAUUAUUUAAAGUUAAAACCAUACUUUUUAGAAAAAAAAUUUAUGGAGAGUGUUAAUUGACCACUUCAGGUAUAUGUUAGUACUGGGUAAACAUUUCUGACCUCCUCAGGCACACAACAUGUAGUGUCCUGAUAAGCACUUAGACUGAUGUGGCAAGCAGUUGCAAAGUAGCAAAUACACACAUUUCCUCUUCUCCUCCCCUUUAAUGAAAAGGCUGUGAAACCUUUAAAUCUUGUUUUUCUGAUGAGAUGGUAUUGAAGUGUAUACAACUUUUAAGUUUGCUGGAAUACUAAAAAGAAAAAACUUAUGAGCUGUUAUGUCUUUAGUUCUCUCUCUUGUGAACACUUAAUAAAAAGGUGUUCUCAGGAUGAAAGAUCAUUUAUGCUGCAUGCUAAAACCAGAAAGUAAUUUUCACAGUAGGUGACUCCAUAUAAAUGAAUUGUGGUAACAAUACUGGUAAAUGUUACUGUUCCAGUAGUUAGUGUUUUUCUACAAAUUGACUAUUUCGUUUUCAUUUUGAUCAGUGAAUGAUAACCAAGUCAAUAGAAGGCUGUCAUUCUAAGUACUUAGCAUCCAUAGCAUCUAGAAUAGCUGAUCUCCAUGUGUAGAGUUGAUUUUUCAGGAGGCAGAGAUCCAGUUAAGCAAAACCUUCCUCCCAAAUAAGCCACAGAGAGCUGAGAGGGUAACACUGGUCUCUAGGUGCAUCUGUGUUGUACCCAAACCUUGUGGUACAGAGUCAGGCUCAGGAUUGAGCCUUGUUCUGCAUAUUGUCAAUUCUUGAGUGUCCUUUCCUGAGUUCCCUCUGUAUUUAUAUUAUUUAUUUAUUUAUUUAUGACCAGUGACCCUGACCACACAUAAUUUGAUAGGUACCCAUUCUUCCCUGUGGGAAAGAAUUAAAGAAGGCUCCAUUUCUUGGACUCUUAAGAUAGGAAUGGGGCUUUCAUUAGUUUCUCUAGCAGACUGCUGGCUGUGAAAUGGCCAACCCCUUUGGGAAAUCAGCGCUAUGUUAAGCUCUUGAACUAAACCAACAGCCAUAAUUAUUGUCCCAAGAAAGUGUAAUGCCGUCCUUUGUAAAAGAUGAUACAUGGCUGGGUGGCAGGUAUAGGGAUUUUCAGAUGGACUGGACAGUAAUACUUUUAUAACUACGUGGACUUUAUGGUUCUUUUUCUAGGGUGAAACCAGUACUUUGUUUUUAUCCUGAUGUUGUCGUUCUUUGGAGUCAGUUUAUAAUCAUUUCUAAAGGACUGUUUGAGCAACCACAAUCUAAUUAAACAAAACCUAGGCACACCAUGGA